rnacentral:rRNA from 1 species
GGAUGAAUAUUCGGCAAUGGGGGCAGCCCUGACCGAGCAACGCCGCGUGGAGGAUGACGGUUUUUGGAUUGUAAACUCCUUUUCUGUGGGAAGAGCAAGGACGGUACCACAGGAAUAAGUCACGGCUAACUACGUGCCAGCAGCCCCGGUAAUACGUAGGUGGCAAGCGUUAUCCGGAAUUACUGGGCGUAAAGCGCACGCAGGUGGUUUGCUAAGUUCGACGUGAAAGCGCCUGGCUUAACUGGGCGAG